UAACGGCUCACCAUGGGAAUGAUACGUAGCCGACCUGAGAGGGGAAUCGGCCACAUUGGGACUGAGACACGGCCCAAACUCCUACGGGAGGCAGCGGUAGGGAAUCUUCCACAAUGGACGAAAGUCUGAUGGAGCAACGCCGCGUGAGUGAAGAAGGGUUUCGGCUCGUAAAACUCUGUUGUUAAAGAAGAACAUAUCUGAGAGUAACUGUUCAGGUAUUGACGGUAUUUAACCAGAAAGCCACGGCUAACUACGUGCCAGCAGCCGCGGUAAUACAUAGGUGGCAAGCGUUGUCCGGAUUUAUUGGGCGUAAAGCGAGCGCAGGCGGUUUUUUAAGUCUGAUGUGAAAGCCUUCGGCUCAACCGAAGAAGUGCAUCGGAAACUGGGAAACUUGAGUGCAGAACAGGACAGUGGAACUCCAUGUGUGCGGGAAAUGCGUAUAUAUAUGGAACAACACCAGUGGCGAAAGCGGCUGUCUGGUCUGUAACUGACGCUGAGGCUCGAAAGUAUGGGUAGCAAACAGGAUUAGAUACCCUGGUAGUCCAUCCCGUAAACGAUGAAUGCUAAGUGUUGGAGGGUUUCCGCCCUUCAGUGCUGCAGCUAACGCAUUAAGCAUUCCGCCUGGGGAGUACGGCCGCAAGGCUGAAACUCAAAGGAAUUGACGGGGGCCCGCACAAGCGGUGGAGCAUGUGGUUUAAUUUGAAGCUCCGCGAAGAACCUUCCCCGGUCUUGACAUCCUAUGCAAAUCUAAGAGAUUAGACGUUCCCUUCGGGGACAUGGAUACAGGUGGUGCAUGGUUGUCGUCAGCUCGUGUCGUGAGAUGUUGGGUUAAGUCCCGCAACGAGCGCAACCCUUAUUAUCAGUUGCCAGCAUUAAGUUGGGCACUCUGGUGAGACUGCCGGUGACAAACCGGAGGAAGGUGGGGAUGACGUCAAAUCAUCAUGCCCCUUAUGACCUGGGCUACACACGUGCUACAAUGGAUGGUACAACGAGUUGCGAACUCGCGAGAGUAAGCUAAUUUCUUAAAGCCAUUCUCAGUUCGGAUUGUAGGCUGCCACUCCGCCUACAUGAAGUCGACACUCCGCCUAGUAAAU
rnacentral:rRNA from 1 species